ACUGCUUAUACUGUGAAACUGCGAAUGGCUCAUUAAAUCAGUUAUAGUUUAUUUGAUGGUACCUUACUACUCGGAUAACCGUAGUAAUUCUAGAGCUAAUACGUGCGCACAUCCCGACUCACGAAGGGACGUAUUUAUUAGAUAAAAGGCCGACCGGGGCAACCCGACUCGCGGUGAAUCAUGAUAACUUCACGAAUCGUACGGCCUUGUGCCGACGAUGUUUCAUUCAAAUUUCUGCCCUAUCAACUUUCGAUGGUUGGAUAGAGGCCAACCAUGGUGGUAACGGGUGACGGAGGAUUAGGGUUCGAUUCCGGAGAGGGAGCCUG
rnacentral:rRNA from 1 species